rnacentral:rRNA from 1 species
CCUACGGGUGGCAGCAGUCGAGAAUCAUUCACAAUGGGGGAAACCCUGAUGCUGCGACGCCGCGUGGGGGAAUGAAGCUCUUCGGAUUGUAAACCCCUGUCAUGUGGGAGCAAAUUAGAAGGAUCGUACCACACGAGGCAGAGCCUGCUAACUCUGUGCCAGCAGCCGCGGUAAUACAUAGGUCUCAAGCGUUGUUCGUAAUCACUGGUCGUAAAGCGUGCGUAGGCUGUUUCGUAAGUCGUGUGUGAAAGGCGCGGGCUCAACCCGCGGCCGGCAAAGGAUACUGGGGGACUAGAGUAAUGGAGGGGGAAACGGAAUUCUUGGUGUAGCAGUGAAAUGCGUAGAUAUCGAGAGGAACACUAGUGGCGAAGGCGGGCUCCUGGACAGUAACUGACGCUGAGGCACGAAGGCGAGGGGAGCGAAAGGGAUUAGAUACCCGAGUAGUC